AGUGAACGCUGGCGGUAGGCCUAACACAUGCAAGUCGAACGGCAGCACAGUAAGAGCUUGCUCUUACGGGUGGCGAGUGGCGGACGGGUGAGGAAUACAUCUGAAUCUACUUUUUCGUGGGGGAUAACGUAGGGAAACUUACGCUAAUACCGCAUACGACCUACGGGUGAAAGCAGGGGAUCUUCGGACCUUGCGCGAUUGAAUGAGCCGAUGUCGGAUUAGCUAGUUGGCGGGGUAAAGGCCCACCAAGGCGACGAUCCGUAGCUGGUCUGAGAGGAUGAUCAGCCACACUGGAACUGAGACACGGUCCAGACUCCUACGGGAGGCAGCAGUGGGGAAUAUUGGACAAUGGGCGCAAGCCUGAUCCAGCCAUACAGCGUGGGUGAAGAAGGCCUUCGGGUUGUAAAGCCCUUUUGUUGGGAAAGAAAAGCAGCAGGUUAAUACCCCGCUGUUCUGACGGUACCCAAAGAAUAAGCACCGGCUAACUUCGUG
rnacentral:rRNA from 1 species